AUUGAACGCUGGCGGCAUGCUUUACACAUGCAAGUCGAACGGUAACAGGCCGCAAGGUGCUGACGAGUGGCGAACGGGUGAGUAAUGCAUCGGAACGUGCCCAGUCGUGGGGGAUAACGCAGCGAAAGCUGCGCUAAUACCGCAUACGAUCUAUGGAUGAAAGCGGGGGACCGUAAGGCCUCGCGCGAUUGGAGCGUCCGAUGUCAGAUUAGGUAGUUGGUGGGGUAAAGGGUCACCAAGCCAACGAUCUGUAGCUGGUCUGAGAGGAAGACCAGCAACACUGGGGCGGAGACACGGCCCAGACUCCUACGGGAGGCAGCAGUGGGGAAUUUUGGACAAUGGGCGCAAGCCUGAUCCAGCAAUGUCGCGUGCAGGAAGAAGGCCUUCGGGUUGUAAACUGCUUUUGUACGGAACGAAACGGUCCUGGUUAAUACCCGGGGCUAAUGACGGUACCGUAAGAAUAAGCACCGGCUAACUACGUGCCAGCCGCCGCGGUAAGAC
rnacentral:rRNA from 1 species